AUCACGGCUCUGUUGAUAGAGUCAGCGAACCCCAGGAAUGCUUUUGGGUGGUUGUCAAUGGAUCCAGAACAAGUCUGGAAUUUUUUUAAGUGUAUGGGCAUCAGUGAAAAGACGUGCUGAAGCCUGCCUUGACAUGAACAGUGGCCAUGUGGAACGCUUGCUGCAAUGUCUUUGUCCUCAAGUGGAAUCUUGGAUAUUCUUCUUAUAAGGGGUUUCAAAUACACCUGUUCCCCUCUAUGUCCAUCAAGAACCAAUAAGUCAACUCUAGGAUGCAUGGAACAAUCUUCAAGAAGGCGACUGCCACAUCGUCAUCGGCAUCGUUGUACUACAAGAGAGAAAGGGAGAGGCAGACACAAGGUAUGCAUAAACCAGAGGGGAUUAACUAGAGCACUGAUAUUGAGAAGACC